rnacentral:rRNA from 1 species
UGCCAGCCGCCGCGGUAACACGUAGGAUUCAAACGUUAUCCGGAUUUACUGGGCGUAAAGCGCGUGUAGGCGGUUUGGUAAGUUGGAUGUGAAAGCUCCAGGCUCAACCUGGAGAGGUCGUUCAAAACUGCCAGACUAGAGGACGGUAGAGGGAGGUGGAAUUCCGGGUGUAGUGGUGAAAUGCGUAGAUAUCCGGAGGAACACCAGUGGCGAAGGCGGCCUCCUGGGCCGUUCCUGACGCUCAGACGCGAAAGCUAGGGUAGCGAACGGGAUUAGAUA